AGUGAACGCUGGCGGUAGGCCUAACACAUGCAAGUCGAACGGCAGCACAGUAAGAGCUUGCUCUUACGGGUGGCGAGUGGCGGACGGGUGAGGAAUACAUCGGAAUCUACUUUUUCGUGGGGGAUAACGUAGGGAAACUUACGCUAAUACCGCAUACGACCUACGGGUGAAAGCAUGGGAUCUUCGGACCUUGCGCGAUUGAAUGAGCCGCUGUCGGAUUAGCUAGUUGGCGGGGUAAAGGCCCACCAAGGCGACGAUCCGUAGCUGGUCUGAGAGGAUGAUCAGCCACGCUGGAACUGAGACACGGUCCUGACUCCUACGGGAGGCAGCAGUGGGGAAUAUUGGACAAUGGGCGGAAGCCUGAUCCAACCAUACCGCGUGGGUGAAGAAGGCCUUCGGGUUGUAAAGCCCUCUUGUUGGGAAAGAAAAGCAGCAGGUUAAUACCCCGCUGUUCUGACGGUACCCAAAGAAUAAGCACCGGCUAACUUCGUG
rnacentral:rRNA from 1 species